UACAGAGGGUGCGAGCGUUAAUCGGAAUUACUGGGCGUAAAGCGUGCGUAGACGGCUAUCUAAGUCGGGUGUGAAAGCCCCGGGCUCAACCUGGGAAUUGCAUUCGAGACUGAAUAGCUAGGGUACGGUAGAGGGAAGCGGAAUUUCCGGUGUAGCGGUGAAAUGCGUAGAUAUCGGAAGGAACAUCAGUGGCGAAGGCGGGUCUCUGGGCCGAUACUGACGCUGAGGAGCGAAAGCGUGGGGAGCGAACAGG
rnacentral:rRNA from 1 species